AUGCAACAACAACUCCUCAAUCGUCAUCGCAACAUCUGCGGUCGGCCACCGCUUACCCACACCACUCCAGUACCACCGCCGCUUUCCACUGUCUCAACUGCCAACGCGACCCUCCAUACUCUAAGUGGUGGUUUCUGUCUCUUAUUAUUUCCCAUGUUGACUUUAAUUUUUUUCUUUGUUUUUAUUUGCAAGGAAGAAUGA
rnacentral:lncRNA from 1 species